rnacentral:rRNA from 1 species
GUGGGGAAUAUUGGGCAAUGGGGGAAACCCUGACCCAGCAACGCCGCGUGAGUGAAGAAGGCCUUCGGGUUGUAAAGCUCUGUCGCAGGGGAAGAACACAAUGACGGUACCCUGUGAGGAAGCCCCGGCUAACUACGUGCCAGCAGCCGCGGUAAUACGUAGGGGGCGAGCGUUGUCCGGAAUUACUGGGCGUAAAGGGUGCGUAGGUGGCUAUUUAAGUUGGAUGUGAAAUCCCCGGGCUUAACCUGGGUGGUGCAUUCAAAACUGGAUGGCUAGAGUGCAGGAGAGGGAAGCGGAAUUCCUAGUGUAGCGGUGAAAUGCGUAGAUAUUAGGAGGAACACCAGUGGCGAAGGCGGCUUUCUGGACUGUAACUGACACUGAGGCACGAAAGCGUGGGGAGCAAACAGGAUUAGAUACCCGAGUAGUCC